CCUACGGGAUGCUGCCGUGAGGAAUAUUGGUCAAUGGGCGCUAGCCUGAACCAGCCAAGUAGCAUGAAGGAUGACUGCCCUACGGGUUGUAAACUUCUUUUAUAAGGGAAUAAAGUGAAGCAUGUCUACCGCUUUGCAUGUACUUUAUGAAUAAGGAUCGGCUAACUCCGUGCCAGCAGCCGCGGUAAUACGGAGGAUCCGAGCGUUAUCCGGAUUUAUUGGGUUUAAAGGGAGCGUAGGCGGGUUGUUAAGUCAGUUGUGAAAGUUUGCGGCUCAACCGUAAAAUUGCAGUUGAUACUGGCAGCCUUGAGUACAGUAGAGGUAGGCGGAAUUCGUGGUGUAGCGGUGAAAUGCUUAGAUAUCACGAAGAACUCCGAUUGCGAAGGCAGCCUGCUGAACUGUAACUGACGCUGAUGCUCGAAAGUGUGGGUAUCAAACAGGAUUAGAUACCCGGGUAGUC
rnacentral:rRNA from 1 species